GGAGAAUUACUCAAGAGGCUGAAGAGGACGGUUUGCUAAAUCGUUAGGUCGCUUUCGCGACGCAAGGGUUCGAAUCCCUUAUUCUCCG
rnacentral:tRNA from 2 species